UUUCUUCAUAUUUUAUCGGAGUAAUUGAUUAACUUACUUUCAAUUUGAUGAUUUCAACUUUAUUUUGGAAGAAUUGAUAUCACCGACAAUUAAUCGCAACUUGAAUUUAACUUGUUGACAUACAUCUUGAUCAAAUUAACUUGCUGCCAUUUGCAAUUGCCUUUAGUUUUUUUAAUUAGUUUGUUUAAUUGGCUAUUACAGCAGGUAUACUUAAUUACGGAAUAGUUUGUUUGGGGAGGAUUGUGACUUACUUCUUUAAUUGGAAGCUCUCUUAUGUAGUUAAUUACUUAAUUUGUCUAAUUCCUUGACUUUUGAUUUUUAGAAAUAUGUCAAGCUCUACUUCAAGCUCUAAGAAAAAGAGGACGACAAAUACUGCAAGUGCUUGAUCAGAUAAACAACUGAUCAUCGCUUCAUUUCUCGUGAAAUGAACAACUGAUCGCUUCAUUUCUCAUUGUUCAUAUUGUUAGUUUAUCAGAUUAUUCACACACCAUUGACCGAAAGUCCCAAAACUGAUUUAUCUUCCCCAUCAAAAUUUUCAAGCAACAACAUUAUUCUAGUUAUUUUUUGAUUUAUAUGCAUACAUUACUUCUGAUUUUCUCCUUUCUCCCUCUUAUGUGUUCUAGUUUAGAUCUGGAAUUUUGAAAUUUGCGGAAUUUCUAUCUAUCACCAUAAGAUCUCUCCUUUAUCUCUUACCUCAAUUGUUGUUUGUUAUUUACGGGUAGUGUAUAACCAACAAGUUCCAGAUCUAGCCACCGGCGGAAGUGCCGGUAGCAGUACCUCAAAAACCAGACGUAACACGAGCACCGCUGCUUCCGCGUAGACGAGGUCGUACAAGAAGUCGUUGAUACAAAGGUGCAACUGCUUUCCUGAUGGCCCGUUGGGAUUAAGAUCUGCAAUUUGAAAUCGCGUGCUAUGCUCAUUAAGAUCUGCAAUUCGACAAUUUUAGCAUUGCAAUUGAUGAUUGCAGGUCACAACUCAAAGGAAAUAAUAUGUUUUGUUUGUGAUUAUGUUGAAAUAUCAUCUUAUUGUUGCUUCUUUGUUUUUCCAUCCUUCAAAUUAAUUUCAUUUUGAACUACUGGAAUACUUGUAUUGAUUAUUGUCAGAUGAAUGAAUUUACUUUUCCAUUUUA